AGAGUUUGAUCAUGGCUCAGGAUGAACGCUGGCGGCGUGCUUAACACAUGCAAGUCGAACGGUGAAACAGGAGCUUGCUCCUGCGGAUCAGUGGCGAACGGGUGAGUAACACGUGAGAAAUGUGCCCUGGACUCUGGGAUAAGCGUUGGAAACGACGUCUAAUACCGGAUACGAGCUGCGAAGGCAUCUUCAGCAGCUGGAAAGAACUUCGGUCCAGGAUCAUCUCGCGGCCUAUCAGCUAGUUGGUGAGGUAACGGCCCACCAAGGCGACGACGGGUAGCCGGCCUGAGAGGGUGACCGGCCACACUGGGACUGAGACACGGCCCAGACUCCUACGGGAGGCAGCAGUGGGGAAUAUUGCACAAUGGGCGCAAGCCUGAUGCAGCAACGCCGCGUGAGGGACGACGGCCUUCGGGUUGUAAACCUCUUUUAGUAGGGAAGAAGCGAAAGUGACGGUACCUGCAGAAAAAGCACCGGCUAACUACGUGCCAGCAGCCGCGGUAAUACGUAGGGUGCAAGCGUUAUCCGGAAUUAUUGGGCGUAAAGAGCUCGUAGGCGGUUUGUCGCGUCUGCUGUGAAAACUGGAGGCUCAACCUCCAGCCUGCAGUGGGUACGGGCAAACUAGAGUGCGGUAGGGGAGAUUGGAAUUCCUGGUGUAGCGGUGGAAUGCGCAGAUAUCAGGAGGAACACCGAUGGCGAAGGCAGAUCUCUGGGCCGUAACUGACGCUGAGGAGCGAAAGCAUGGGGAGCGAACAGGAUUAGAUACCCCAGUAGUCC
rnacentral:rRNA from 1 species